rnacentral:rRNA from 1 species
UACGUAGGGUGCGAGCGUUAAUCGGAAUUACUGGGCGUAAAGCGUGCGCAGGCGGUUCGUUGUGUCGGCGGUGAAAGCCCCGGGCUUAACCUGGGAAUGGCCGUUGAAACUGGCGAACUGGAGUGUGGCAGAGGGGGGUGGAAUUCCACGUGUAGCAGUGAAAUGCGUAGAGAUGUGGAGGAACACCGAUGGCGAAGGCAGCCCCCUGGGCUGAGAUUGACGCUCAGGCACGAAAGCGUGGGGAGCAAACAGG